rnacentral:lncRNA from 1 species
CACCUAAGGGUCUGACCUAGUGGUUCAAUAAAAUGAAUUGAGUAUCAUAAGGUAUCAAAUUCAUUUUCUAACAAAAAUAAAUAUUAAAUGAUUUCUUCUCAAUAUUUCAUAAAACUAAUUAAAGUGCACACAAAUAAAAUUGAUCCAAAAAACUUAGGCUAAAAAAAUUAAAUUAAAAAAGAAAAGAAAAGAAAUGGAGAAAAAAGGUUGAUGAGUAAAAAACGAGGGAAGAAAGGAAAGGGGUGAGAGGGGUACAAGUGGAACCAACAUA